UGACCAGAGACUAAAACAGCUGCAGUGUAACCUAAAACUGUUUUACUGCCUUUUAGUUUGACAGUGUUUCUGUUGUAAUGGAGAUGCAACUAUACGGACUCCUACUGAUGAUUAUCACAUGUGUUAAUGGUCAGUCUUUGAGCUCCUCGGAUUCUGUGGUGAAAAGACCAGGAGAAUCAGUGACUCUGUCCUGCGGUGUCUCUGGAUUCUCAAUGAGCAGCUACUACAUGCACUGGAUCCGUCAGAAACCAGGGAGAGGACUGGAGUGGAUCGGCCUUAUUGACUACGGCACUGGCACUGUUUUUGCUCAGUCUCUACAAGGCCAGUUCUCCAUCAGAAAAGACACCAGCAAAAAAAUGCUGUAUUUAGAGGUGAAAAGCCUGAAGACUGACGACACAGCUGUUUAUUACUGUGCGAGACAGUCACAGUAACACAAACGUCUGCAG